rnacentral:misc_RNA from 1 species
ACUGAUCGCCUUUGGUUUUUCUUUCGGCUGCAUCGACUGAUUGCGUCCUUCCGACAACGACACGUGCACGAGCACACACACACACGCACAGAGUACAUGCACACUUCCAUAUAGGCCCGAUUACUCGUUGCACGUCAGCAUUCGCCCCGCGUAUCAGCAUCGUCACCCAUUGGCAUUCACAUUCUUCACCGCUUUGUUUUUGUUAUGCCCCGCCCCCCCCCCCCGCUGGCCGGUGCCUCUGCUCCAAGGGAAGGCGUGCGCGCACGAGCAUACACACAGGAACAACAGCAUCCUUUUCGUUGUUGUUCAACGUGCUCAUUCUCUGCCAUACGACAUGAAAUGAUACUUCCCUCUACCGCCCACCGGCUUCCGCCUGCGUGAUGCGUCAGAAGGCGACGGCAAACGAUGCAGUGCCUCUCUGCCCGCAGCAUUUUUGCCACGAUGGCCUUGUCAUUGUCGUCGCCGUCACCGUUGGAGUCUGCAGUUGCUUCGCUUCUGGAUUAACAGCAAUCAUGGCUCGAUUCUAAUGAUUUUCAACUCUCGAGUAUGCCGCUUCCGAUUAUGCGCGUCCACGUGCGCCGACGAUGGAUCCAUCCCGCUACAGUACCGUGAUGCCCAUGAGUCGCUUCAUCACAUGUUGUGGUUGGCCCAUGCGGGACCUAUCCGCCCCGUUCUUGGGCAGCAAUACACAGGACAACUGCCUUCUUGCGUUUUCGUCCACUGCAAAGGGCGCCGACAUUCCUGCGGCCAUGUCCACCUGGACGGUUAGCGUACGGAACGUGCUUGGAAUGCUGGCGGUACGGUGCCGAGGGAUCCGAUCCUCUUGGUGUCGCGAUGGUGCGUCUUCUACACGGCGUAAUGCCGAAGGCACAGCGGUGCUCCGCUAUGUGGUUGGUGCACAGCCGAGGUCAAACCCGACAUAUGUUCACUAGGCGUUCAUAUGAGCCCGAGGAAGUGUGUCCUUUUAUGUAGGGCCGACUCUCGUGGCGCGUCCGCUGCAGACACUCCAGGAUGAGCGCUAAGCUCGCCUUUUCCGGUAACUGCAGCGCACCAUUUCCUCGGAUUUGAGCAGGGCAUUUUUUCAGCGUAACGCGCCUGACGCACGCCGUUGCGUGAGCUCGUUGCAGCCGCAGCCAGGAUGCCCACGUGGGCAGAGAACGGAGGUUUUCGCGCUGAAGUACGUACUCGACGGCGCAGCGCACACGACGAAGACCGAAGAGGCGGUCACCGUUGUUCAUCAUCUUCACAAGCGCACGCCGGCUCGUCAACAAUGAAAAUUAUGCUGGGGACGAGGGGGGGCUUCUGCCUUGUCUUGUCUCUGCUCAGCGCUCAGGAGUGUGGUCGUGCUUUGCGCUGUUUGCCGGCAGCGCAACGGCAGCGUUAAACGAGUCGCAGCAGCUCUGUGGAUCAGCUCCCCCCGUUUCCCCCUAAAAAAAAAACUACACUAGCGAUGUGGACUUGUGCCACGCUCAUUGAUGUCCAACGAGGGUGCGGAGAGAGCGUUUGACGGCCGCGUGGCACCGCUGAGAGCGGGGAUUGGCCGCAUGCACCUCUCUCUGUGAAGGCGCUGUGCCCAACUCCAGAGGUAUACCGCAGCGGUGAAACAGUGUUUUCACCUCUGGUUUCCAGCAAUCGCGCCCGAAGAGCGCAGUCGAUCGAGACGCCUAACUUCGAGUGCGCACCUCCCUGCGUACGAGUCUGUGCCGUCGUGGCUGCGCUAUGGGGCGGCUCAAACGGAUCUCGCUAUCGAGAAAAGCUCUUUAGCUCGCAAGGGACUGCACGCUCAGCUUCGCCUCAGGCAGGUACAGCCAGAGCGCAUGGCAGCGGUACGCGCGCACGUGCCUGCUGUCUUUUUUUUUUCGCAAGUGCAUCGCCGCUGCUGAUGUAUCCGGCGACUUUGUGCCGAUCCCAUCCGCAGAAGCAAAAGGCUGUGUCGCAUACUAGAAACACUUCGCACCCGGGAAACUCGGCUGGCUGUGAUGGAGGCCCAUGCAUGCGGGGACCGUCCACGUUGAUUGCAACUCUUUUCGCUCGCUGUCGACGCUUUUUGGGAACGACGUGAGAGCUGCUCUUUUGGUGCGGCCGGGAAAGGCAUGAAAACAACACAGAGAGAGGCAGUGCGAUGGCUCGUUGGACUUGCACACAAACUGUGCUGGUGUGUUAGCUGUUCUGGUGUGGCGCUGGUCUCACACAUGUCUGUCUUUUCUCCCGACGCGAUCCUCAGACGUCGCAGUUGAUGACAGGUCUAGGAUUCAUCUGAGUGGUGCCUCUGCUCUCGGUGAUGCGUGCGCGGCACUGUGUGUC